CCUAAUACAUGCAAGUCGAACGAGUUCUCGUUGAUGAUCGGUGCUUGCACCGAGAUUCAACAUGGAACGAGUGGCGGACGGGUGAGUAACACGUGGGUAACCUGCCCUUAAGUGGGGGAUAACAUUUGGAAACAGAUGCUAAUACCGCAUAGAUCCAAGAACCGCAUGGUUCUUGGCUGAAAGAUGGCGUAAGCUAUCGCUUUUGGAUGGACCCGCGGCGUAUUAGCUAGUUGGUGAGGUAAUGGCUCACCAAGGCGAUGAUACGUAGCCGAACUGAGAGGUUGAUCGGCCACAUUGGGACUGAGACACGGCCCAAACUCCUACGGGAGGCAGCAGUAGGGAAUCUUCCACAAUGGACGCAAGUCUGAUGGAGCAACGCCGCGUGAGUGAAGAAGGCUUUCGGGUCGUAAAACUCUGUUGUUGGAGAAGAAUGGUCGGCAGAGUAACUGUUGUCGGCGUGACGGUAUCCAACCAGAAAGCCACGGCUAACUACGUGCCAGCAGCCGCGGUAAUACGUAGGUGGCAAGCGUUAUCCGGAUUUAUUGGGCGUAAAGCGAGCGCAGGCGGUUUUUUAAGUCUGAUGUGAAAGCCCUCGGCUUAACCGAGGAAGCGCAUCGGAAACUGGGAAACUUGAGUGCAGAAGAGGACAGUGGAACUCCAUGUGUAGCGGUGAAAUGCGUAGAUAUAUGGAAGAACACCAGUGGCGAAGGCGGCUGUCUGGUCUGUAACUGACGCUGAGGCUCGAAAGCAUGGGUAGCGAACAGGAUUAGAUACCCUGGUAGUCCAUGCCGUAAACGAUGAAUGCUAGGUGUUGGAGGGUUUCCGCCCUUCAGUGCCGCAGCUAACGCAUUAAGCAUUCCGCCUGGGGAGUACGACCGCAAGGUUGAAACUCAAAGGAAUUGACGGGGGCCCGCACAAGCGGUGGAGCAUGUGGUUUAAUUCGAAGCAACGCGAAGAACCUUACCAGGUCUUGACAUCUUUUGAUCACCUGAGAGAUCAGGUUUCCCCUUCGGGGGCAAAAUGACAGGUGGUGCAUGGUUGUCGUCAGCUCGUGUCGUGAGAUGUUGGGUUAAGUCCCGCAACGAGCGCAACCCUUAUGACUAGUUGCCAGCAUUUAGUUGGGCACUCUAGUAAGACUGCCGGUGACAAACCGGAGGAAGGUGGGGAUGACGUCAAAUCAUCAUGCCCCUUAUGACCUGGGCUACACACGUGCUACAAUGGAUGGUACAACGAGUUGCGAGACCGCGAGGUCAAGCUAAUCUCUUAAAGCCAUUCUCAGUUCGGACUGUAGGCUGCAACUCGCCUACACGAAGUCGGAAUCGCUAGUAAUCGCGGAUCAGCACGCCGCGGUGAAUACGUUCCCGGGCCUUGUACACACCGCCCGUCACACCAUGAGAGUUUGUAACACCCGAAGCCGGUGGCGUAACCCUUUUAGGGAGCGAGCCGUCU
rnacentral:rRNA from 1 species